rnacentral:tRNA from 1 species
AGAUUUUAAGUUAAAAAAACUAUUUGCCUUCAAAGCAAAAAUUAUUUCGCAUAAAUCUUAG